AAGGUGACAGUUUGCAAUGUGACUCAGCUACCUGAACAGCCACCCUAAUGUCAGACUGCUGAGUCACAUUGCAGACUGUCACCCAAUGCUU
ensembl:miRNA predicted gene, 27686